AAGUUUUGUUGACUCUGUUACUAACACAAAGAAAGAAUUGCUCUAAACGAUCCCACAUGAAAGUGGAGCAGGGUCUGCCCACAAACCACCACCGCCUGUGAAGGAGAUGGAAAGAGGAGUCAGCUCUGGAAUCUCAGCCUGUAUGCAUGAGGCUGAACAGAUUUGACAGACUGACUUGGAGGUAUCAGCCUGGCUUUCUGCCUGGUCGUCCUUUCUAAGGCUUCCGGGGUGGCAGAAAUGUGGGCAACAGAAAUUCUGCCUCAGUGGCUUGCAAACUGUGUUCAACGUUUCCUAGAAAAUGGGUGCUGGUCAAAUCCUGUCUGCCUCUAGAGGCUGCUCCAUAGAGAACAAGUGUAUGGGUGCCUAUAGGCCAAGACUCGGCGCUCCUAUAUGCACACAUAACAGUAACAUCAAACCUAAUCCAGGCCAAGCUUCUGUUUUUGCAGCACCCUGGUUGUGAGGAAGGGGAAGCUGGAAGACGUGGUACGUGAUCUAAUUACUUCGUUGGGCUGCGUUGGUGUUGUGGUUUUCCACAAAGAGGUAAGGGAAAUAAUUGAGUGACACAGCUCGAAGAUAAAAAUAGCAAGGUUUCUUCCACAGCCAAACGGUGAUGCAGGUCCUGUAUGUUCAGAGCCUCUCUCGGCUGUGGCCAGCCCUCCCCUGGCUCCUUGGUGAACAUGGAGCAGGCUGCCAGGAGGCAUAUUGUGCUGUAUGUGGAAAAGGCCAGCAGUGAGCUGACAGCACCCACAUUUAGUCAGUUACCCAUCAGGAGGCUGAAGAGUGAAACAGAGCUCCCGUCCCCGGUUGCUGGCAGGGGUGACAUGUCACUGACCUAUUUUCACUGAGCCCAAAAAGCAGUUUGGUGCAGAGGCUGCUGAGUGGAGGGCUCUGGAUCCAGUACAAAUGCACAUUCACAAGUAUGCAUGCGUACACGUGCAUAUGUACAUACAUUAUUAGAGUCCAGGUCUGAAAACAUCAGAGGCAGGACUCACCCAGACCUGUGCUCCCUGAUGUUAGGACUGAGGCACUUGUACCUUGGUCACCUACACAUUAGGUUAUUGCUCUGCCCUUGUGAGGGCCCACCUGCAGCGAGCACUGUGUCCAGGCCAGAAAGAUGUGGAGGUGUUGGAGUGGGUUCAGAGGAGUCCAUAAAGAUGCUCAGAGGGCUGGAGUAUCUCUGCUAUGAAGACGGAUGGAGGGAGCUAGGCUUGGUUAGCUUGGAGAAGAGAGAGGUCUGGGGAGACCCCAUUGUGGCCUUCCAGUACUUGAAGGGAGCUUAUAAACAGGAGGGAGACAGACUUUUUACACGGUCUAAUAGUGAUAGGACAAGGGGGAAUGACUUUAAACUGAAAGAGGGGAAAUUUAGAUUAGAUAUCAGGAAAUGUUUCACUGAGAGGGCUAUGAGACCCUGGCACAGGCUGCCCAGAGAGAUGUGGGUGCCCCAUCCAUGAAGGUGCUCAAGGCCAGGCUGGAUGGGGCCCUGGGCAGCCUGAGCUGGUGGGGGGCAAUUAGCCCACAGCAGGGGGUUGGAACUAAAUAAUCCUUAAGUUCCCUUCCAACCCAUUCUAUGAGUCAAUGCCUUGCUCCAUGCAGCACUGGACUAUGGUGUAAGAACAACCACAGAGACUCAGACAGAAGGCCUCAUCUAACUCCACAGCCUUUUUCCUGACAGUGGCCCAGAGAAAACUGAGCAAGCCAGGCAGGAUAUUUCCCAGAAUACUUUCCCAGCUUCCAAGAAUCUGUGGUUCAAGGACUUUUUGAGAGAGAAAUUCAAUCCUGAAAUUCUAUAAUGCUCAAUGGAUUUCUUUUACAAAUAUUUCUCCAGUCCCCGUUGCCGUCCAUGCAAACAUCUGGUAUCUGCAAGGUCCUACAUCAAAGGGUUCCAGAGUUUCACUGCACACAGGAUGAGAAAUGACAAAAGGGCUUCUUUCCUUGAGCUGUAUUUUUUUUGAAUCUUUUUCUGUUUGCUGGAAGAAUGCUGGGCUUAGUUAUCAGCUUCAUAUGCAUACCUGAGGUUGUGAAAAGUAUUCCAAAGCAUCUGGUUGUUGAUGUGGCCCUUCAGACCAGCUUCUCCUUGCAUCUACCUCCUCCAUAUUCUAGCAUCAGCACCACUGAUGGGUGAAGGUCUGUCUGCAGUGCCCACAGCCUUGUGCUGGAUUGCUCCAUUACCCAAUCUGGUUAAACACAGGUGCCUAUGACAGCGUGUGGACUCCAUCCAACUCUCUGCAUGGCAUCCAGCCCAAUGUCUACACCAGUUUCCAAAAAGCAGUGGAAUCUGAGGCGAAGGUCCGGCUGGUGCAGCAGAGAGCAGAUCAGCCGAAGCCUCUGGCUCUGGAGGUGGAAGAAGGAUAUAUCCCUACAAUGGAGGAUUUGGGACAAAAGGGUAAGAAAACUUAAUUUGGCAGCUGCUCCCAUGAAAUCCUACUCAGAGAUGUCUCUUACUGAGAAUCAAAAGAUGCAGGCCUCCCAAGGCAGUGGUUGCCCAUCAGAACUCGAGCUGAGCUCCUAUUCCUUCAUAUGGGAAAGGAAGGGAUGCUCCCUGUGUGGAGCAGCUGAGUUGGCAAGCCUCACACUUGGGUAGAAAACACCCUCUUUAUUAGCAAUUUUGAAUAUGUCUGAUGGGGCCUUUUUUUUUUUUUCAAAGGAAUACUCGGGCAAAAUCUUCGAUUUCCCCAAAGCAGACAUCACUACUGCAGAACAUCCCUCGAUUUUAAGCUUUAGAGAUGCUUUCCAUGGGCUCAUUUUUCUUAAUAGCAAGCUGAUGGUGUUUUCUGUGGCAGAUCCUGGGACUGAUCCCCAAACAGCCUUCCUGGGCUUUAAUGAGAUUGCAGUAUUAAUUUUGGGACACGGUAACUCGUACAUUUCCUUGCCUGCAUCCUCCCCCUUGCACAUACAGCUGUACAAGUGGGUGAGACUGCAAUUUCACUUCCUAGUAAUAUUUCCUCAGCUCCUGCGUAGCACUUUACAAUAAAGAAAGUUAGCAUUAUUUCAGUUUUACAGCGAGAGAAACUAAAUCAAAAAGAAGUCAUCCAGGAACUAGAAAGGUAAACCAAGCACUUAGGAACCUAGUUUAGCAGCCACCCCUCUUAAAUGUUUUUUUUUUUUUCCAUCAGCAUUAGGGAAUUGGGACCAUUUUUUGGCUUCUUUACCUUGAUUUGCUCUUUUUACUCUCCCUUCCUGCGUCAGCAGCAAUUAAGUUCCUCCAUUUUGGAGGACUGAAAAGCAGCCUGACGAGCUGCAAAUGGAACCACAACCGGGGUGAGGAACAACUGAACCAAGCUGCUGCCCACAGCUGCAAACAGUAAGAUGUUACGGCCAAAUAAUUACAGCUACUUCUUGCUCCCUCACUCUGGUGAGUGAAGCUGAUGCUGACUGUACUUCUGCUGUGCAUCCUGACUGUCUUUGAACCUCUUCCUGGUUUAGAAGCUGCCUUAAUUUGCACAAAACCACGUAUGCUGAUUUCCAACAGCUUUGUAGGCAAAGGGGGUAGCACCUGGGGCUGUGUGAGCAGUGUAUGUGCCCAGUGCGCUCACCAACACAGCCACUAUGGAAUGCUUCCAGCUGUGCUACAGAAAUUCCAGCAUCUUGGUGAGCUAGGACAGCCCACUAGCACUUAUAACCUGCACCGUGAAGGGGAUCAGGGAGAGAUUGGACUUCCCUAGGAUGUCCUUUGCAUUGUCACUGCAGCACGCGGAAAAAAGGAAGGUCUGCACCCUGCUGUAAAUGUGGCGGGCUGAGAGCCGACAGAGAUCAGCAUCCCUGCAGCUGAACGUUGAGUCAAAUCCAAACUAGCAGCCCCAAGGGCAAGGCAAAAGGCCAACCUGACCACAACUGUUGCUUGUGAAUGGAUUAUUGAUCCACAAUCAGGUGGGUAUGGGCAGGGAGCAUAGCUUGUGACAUGCUUCUGGAGCUCUAAUGAAGGCAGCUGGCCUGAUUAAUUCCUGUGCAUUAGAGGCAGUGAUUGGCAGCCAUGGGGGGGAAGCCCAGCCCUGGCAGCUUGCACUUGCUCCAGUAUGAAAGAAAACAUUUUAGCAGGUUGUAUGUAAAGUAUGAUAAUCUUUUGUUCUUUUGUUUGCAUCUUACAAGGAGACUUGGAGUGGACUGCUAGGAAUGGAUGACUCAACCAAAUUUGUACCACGGCUGGUGCUCGGCUGCAUUUCUCCCUGAUACGUCUAUGACCAAAUAACAGAAGUACAUAAGAGAGCAGCAAAUCAGAGCAUGCACCGGUAUGACCCUGCACGAUCACCGUGGCUUGUUCUCUCUGGAAAGGAAACUGCGAUCGCGCACACAGAAGACAGUGAUUUGUUAACUUUCUUCUUAAUUAAUGUUUGUUUUUCCUGUGCUUGCUGUCUGGUUCCUCUGGGGCGCACUGCAGUCUUAUUAGUCUGCCUCUGACAACCAAAGGCUCGAGGCACUUUGUAAGCAAAAGAUAUUAAUAUCAGUUGUCAUUAUUAUUGCGGGGAAAUGGUGGUUCAUAAUUUGUAAGGCUGAUCUCUGUAAGUCAGCACCAUCCCUCUCUGUAUUGUUACAGUGGGCUAGAUGGGAAGGAAGGAGAACGAUCUGCAAAUAAAAGCCAGAAGGUUUCUCAUGC